rnacentral:rRNA from 1 species
UACGGGGGGGGCAAGUGUUCUUCGGAAUGACUGGGCGUAAAGGGCACGUAGGCGGUGAAUCGGGUUGAAAGUGAAAGUCGCCAAAAAGUGGCGGAAUGCUCUCGAAACCAAUUCGCUUGAGUGAGACAGAGGAGAGUGGAAUUUCGUGUGUAGGGGUGAAAUCCGUAGAUCUACGAAGGAACGCCAAAAGCGAAGGCAGCUCUCUGGGUCCCUACUGACGCUGGGGUGCGAAAGCAUGGGGAGCGAACAGG